rnacentral:rRNA from 1 species
GUAGGUGGCAAGCGUUGUCCGGAAUUAUGGGCGUAAAGCGCGCGCAGGCGGGUUCUUUAAGUCUGAUGUAAAAGCCCACGGGCUCAACCGUGGAGGGUCAUUGGAAACUGGAGAACUUGAGUACAGAAGAGGAAAGCGGAAUUCCACGUGUAGCGGUGAAAUGCGUAGAGAUGUGGAGGAACACCAGUGGCGAAGGCGGCUUUCUGGUCUGUAACUGACGCUGAGGCGCGAAAGCGUGGGGAGCAAACAGGAUUAGAUACCCUGGUAGUCCACGCCGUAAACGAUGAGUGCUAAGUGUUAGGGGGUUUCCGCCCCUUAGUGCUGCAGCUAACGCAUUAAGCACUCCGCCUGGGGAGUACGGCCGCAAGGCUG